rnacentral:rRNA from 1 species
AUUGGGUAGGGGAGCGUUCUGUAAGCCGUUGAAGGUGUGUUGUAAAGCAUGCUGGAGGUAUCAGAAGUGCGAAUGCUGACAUGAGUAACGAUAAAGGGGGUGAAAAACCUCCUCGCCGGAAGACCAAGGGUUCCUGUCCAACGUUAAUCGGGGCAGGGUGAGUCGACCCCUAAGGCGAGGCCGAAAGGCGUAGUCGAUGGGAAACGGGUUAAUAUUCCCGUACUUCUUACAAUUGCGAUGGGGGGACGGAGAAGGCUAGGUGGGCCUGGCGACGGUUGUCCAGGUUCAAGUGCGUAGGCUUGAGAGUUAGGUAAAUCCGGCUCUCUUUAAGGCUGAGACACGAUGUCGAGCUACUACGGUAGUGAAGUCAUUGAUGCCAUGCUUCCAGGAAAAGCCUCUAAGCUUCAGAUUGUAAGGAAUCGUACCCCAAACCGACACAGGUGGUCGGGUAGAGAAUACCAAGGCGCUUGAGAGAACUCGGGUGAAGGAACUAGGCAAAAUGGUACCGUAACUUCGGGAGAAGGUACGCUCUUGACGGUGAAGUCCCUCGCGGAUGGAGCUGAUGAGAGUCGCAGAUACCAGGUGGCUGCAACUGUUUAUUAAAAACACAGCACUGUGCAAAAUCGUAAGAUGACGUAUACGGUGUGACGCCUGCCCGGUGCCGGAAGGUUAAUUGAUGGGGUUAGACUUCGGUCGAAGCUCUUGAUCGAAGCCCCGGUAAACGGCGGCCGUAACUAUAACGGUCCUAAGGUAGCGAAAUUCCUUGUCGGGUAAGUUCCGACCUGCACGAAUGGCGUAAUGAUGGCCACGCUGUCUCCACCCGAGACUCAGUGAAAUUGAAAUCGCUGUGAAGAUGCAGUGUACCCGCGGCUAGACGGAAAGACCCCGUGAACCUUUACUACAGCUUGGCACUGAACAUUGAACCUACAUGUGUAGGAUAGGUGGGAGGCUUUGAAGCGCAGACGCUAGUUUGUGUGGAGCCGUCCUUGAAAUACCACCCUUGUAUGUUUGAUGUUCUAACUCAGACCCGUCAUCCGGGUCGAGGACAGUGCCUGGUGGGUAGUUUGACUGGGGCGGUCUCCUCCCAAAGAGUAACGGAGGAGCACGAAGGUGGGCUAAACACGGUUGGACAUCGUGUGGUUAGUGCAAUGGCAUAAGCCCGCUUGACUGCGAGAAUGACAAUUCGAGCAGGUGCGAAAGCAGGUCAUAGUGAUCCGGUGGUUCUGAAUGGAAGGGCCAUCGCUCAACGGAUAAAAGGUACUCCGGGGAUAACAGGCUGAUACCGCCCAAGAGUUCAUAUCGACGGCGGUGUUUGGCACCUCGAUGUCGGCUCAUCACAUCCUGGGGCUGAAGUCGGUCCCAAGGGUAUGGCUGUUCGCCAUUUAAAGUGGUACGCGAGCUGGGUUUAGAACGUCGUGAGACAGUUCGGUCCCUAUCUGCCGUGGGCGUUGGAGAAUUGAAGGGGGCUGCUCCUAGUACGAGAGGACCGGAGUGGACGAACCUCUGGUGUUCGGGUUGUUACGCCAGUAGCAUUGCCCGGUAGCUAAGUUCGGAAUUGAUAACCGCUGAAAGCAUCUAAGCGGGAAGCAAGCCCUGAGAUGAGUUCUCCCUGGCACUUUAAGUGUCCUAAAGGGUUGUUCGAGACUAGAACGUUGAUAGGCAGGGUGUGUAAGUGCUGUGAGGCAUUGAGCUAACCUGUACUAAUUGCCCGUGAGGCUUAACCAUACAACACCCAAGGGGUUU